rnacentral:lncRNA from 10 species
CAAAUUUCCAAUAAUAUGAGAAUAGCUGUUGUUACAAUGGCCUACUUCUUUUCCCCAAACUUCAUAGUUAUGUCUGCCUUUUCCAGAAACCAUUUUCUGGCCCUGUCUCUGCCUCCUCUCCACUCAGCAAGACUUGUCCCUACACAUGUACCCUAUGUUGCUUUAAGAUUUAAGAGAGUAGGCCAGGGGUGGUGGCUCAUGCCUGUAAUCUCAACACUUUGGGAGGCCGAGGCAGGUGGAUCACCUGAGGUCGGGAGUUCAAGACCAGCCUGACCAACAUGGAGAAACCCCGUCUCUACUAAAAAUACAAAAUUAGCCAGGCAUGGUGGCAUAUGCCUGUAAUCCCAGCUACUUGGGAGGCUAGGGCAGGAGAAUCACUUGAACCCGGGAGGUGGAGGUUGCGGUGAGCCAAGAUCAUGCCACUGCACUCCAGCCUGGGCAACAAGAGCAAAAUUCCGUCUUAAAAAAAAAAA